UGGGGGACAACGUUUCGAAAGGAACGCUAAUACCGCAUACGUCCUACGGGAGAAAGCAGGGGACCUUCGGGCCUUGCGCUAUCAGAUGAGCCUAGGUCGGAUUAGCUAGUUGGUGAGGUAAUGGCUCACCAAGGCGACGAUCCGUAACUGGUCUGAGAGGAUGAUCAGUCACACUGGAACUGAGACCGGUUCCACACACCUACGGGAGGCAGCAGUGGGGAAUAUUGGACAAUGGGCGAAAGCCUGAUCCAGCCAUGCCGCGUGUGUGAAGAAGGUCUUCGGAUUGUAAAGCACUUUAAGUUGGGAGGAAGGGCAGUAAGUUAAUACCUUGCUGUUUUGACGUUACCGACAGAAUAAGCACCGGCUAACUCUGUGCCAGCAGCCGCGGUAAUACAGAGGGUGCAAGCGUUAAUCGGAAUUACUGGGCGUAAAGCGCGCGUAGGUGGUUCGUUAAGUUGGAUGUGAAAGCCCCGGGCUCAACCUGGGAACUGCAUCCAAAACUGGCGAGCUAGAGUAUGG
rnacentral:rRNA from 1 species